UUGUAUUUCACUCAAAACCCACCAAAUGACUCCUCCCCACAAUAUUAUGAUGUUCCCCAAGUUUUGGACUCAAUCCGAUAUCGAUUGGUCCUUGAAAUCGGACAAUUCAGGUUCGUUUGAAGUUCGUUCCUUAAUGGGGUGGUUGGUAUAUUGUAUAGUUCUAGAGAUUGGAUUUCACUCAAAACCCACCAAAUGACUCCUCCCACAAUAUUAUGAUGUUCCCCAAGUUUUGGACUCAAUCCCAUAUCGAUCGGUCCACGAAAUUUGACAAUUCUGGUUCGUGCCAAGUUCGUUCCGAAAUGGAGUGGUUGGUGUAUUGUAUAGUUCUAGGGAUUGUAUUUCACUCAAAACCCACCAAAUGACUCCUCCCACAAUAUUAUGAUGUUCCCCAAGUUUUGGACUCAAUCCGAUAUCGAUUGUUCCUUGAAAUCGGACAAUUCAUGUUCGUACGAAGUUCGUUCAUAAAUGGGGUGGUUGGUGUAUUGUAUAGUUCUAGGGAUUGAAUUUCACUCAAAACCCACCAAAUGCCUCCUCCCACAAUAUUAUGAUGUUCCCCAAGUUUUGGACUCAAUCCGAUAUCGAUUGGUCCUCGAAAUUUGAUAAUUUAGGUUCGUUUGAAGUUCGUUCCAAAAUGGGGUGGUUGGUGUAUUGCAUAGUUCUAGAGAUUGGAUUUCACUCAAAACCCACCAAAUGACUCCUCCCACGAUAUUAUGAUGUUGCCCAAGUUUUGGACUCAAUCCGAUAUCGAUUAGUCCUUGGAAUCGGACAAUUCAGGUUCGUACGAAGUUCGUUCUGAAGUGGAGUGGUUGGUGUAUUGUAUAGUUCUGGGAAUUGUAUUUCACUCAAAACCCACCAAAUGACUCCUCCCACAAUAUUAUGAUGUUCCCCAAGUUUUGGACUCAAUCGGAUAUCGAUCAGUCCCCGAAAUUUGACAAUUCAAGUACGUACGAAGUUCGUUCUGAAAUGGAGUGGUUGGUGUAUUGUAUUCUUUUAGGGAUUCGAUUUCACUGAAAACCCACCAAAUGACUCCUCCC
rnacentral:lncRNA from 1 species